UCGCGGUCUAGAGUCUAGGGCCUAGCUAGCGUUCAGUUUAUGCCGUACGUUCCGCGCGAGGUGUACGGUAGGUAACGCGAAAUACGUAAAUAAAAGACUGAGCUGCAUGUGUAUCACGUACGCGUUGCGUGACUUUCGUCUCAUAUCUAUGAUCCAGAAAACGUGACGACAAAACGAACAAUACGAAUUCCACGAUGUCGCGGAAUUGAUUCAACGGAUGACCUGUCAGCCGGUACGCGUCUUGGUGAAUGCGUCACAUUUUCACGGUUUUGUCAUUCGCUCUUCAUGUUCCAGCGCGCAUUCGCCACAGUCCAAAAUUCAUAACGAUACCAAAGAGUGCAAAAUAGUAUGCGUAGUCAAAGCAGGAUAUCGUCAAGUUUCAUCUUCCUGUUAUGCGUUUUUUUCUCCAGUUCGAUAUGGAUUGUUAUCGGAAAUCCCAUUCGGUACAGGACGAGACGGGAAGCGGAGAUAGCGUCCACCAACUGGACCGCGCUGGCCGACGAAUGGAUCGCAGCGAAGGCCAGGGCCGCCGAAAAGAUGGACGUCGCUCUGCUGCCGUUCAACGAGAGAUUCCGGGAACUACCGCCUACGGUGGAGACCUUUGUUGUUAACGGCACGAACCCUGAACAGAUGGCACGGUUAAAUUACUCGCGGAUGCUAUGGGAUAUGGAAACCGUUCAGCCGAGUGGACAUCUAUCCGGAUUCGUUGACAAGGCUCUUAAACUGCUAGAUCUGAGGCAGGUCAUGAUGGAGGUUGAAACCUCCGUAAUGUCCAAAGUAUCUUGCACCGCGUGCAAAGUAGGUGCCGGCCUGCUGCAACAUUAUAUAAAAGUCGGCAAGAGCGAUGAGGAGAUCAUGGCCAGCAUUUAUCAAUUCUGUGUGUCGCUUAACAUACAGAGCGCUCGAGUCUGUCACGGAGUCACUUUGCUUUUUGGGGGGGAGGUGAUCUACGUAUUGAAACAGGUGACUAUGGGUCCAGCGCAAAUUUGCAGUUUCGUGAUCGGCGAUGCGUGCGACGACGCGUUUAAUCCGCUACAUGAAUGGGAGGUGGCCUUUCCACCGGUCAAGAAACCGCCGAUUAAACCGCCGAUACCGCCGCAGGAAGGCGCGCCGACCUUCAAGGUGCUGCAUAUCUCCGACACGCAUUAUGAUCCGUAUUAUCAGGAGGGUGCGAACGCCGAGUGCAAUGAACGGCUCUGCUGUCGGCUGACAAACGGUGCCCCUUUGACGGCCUCGGCCGCCGCCGGACGAUGGGGCGAUUACAGAAAAUGCGAUACACCCAAGAGAACAAUCGACCAUAUGCUCAAGCACAUUGCCGAUACGCAUUUGGAUAUUGAUUACAUCUUGUGGACGGGUGAUUUGCCGCCCCACGAUGUGUGGAAUCAAACGCGAGAAGAAAAUCUAAAGGUAUUGCGUAACACGGUCGCGCAAAUGGUAGAGAUGUUCCCCGGAAUACCGAUCUUUCCUGCCUUAGGAAAUCAUGAAAGCGCGCCGGUCAACAGUUUUCCACCACCCUUUGUGCCUGAAGAAAACAGUAUCUCAUGGCUGUAUGACGAUCUCGAUAAACAAUGGCGACGCUGGCUACCAGCCGGUGUAUCGCACACCGUUCGUCGCGGUGCCUUCUAUUCCGUUCUGGUUCGACCAGGUUUCAGAAUUCUUUCUGUUAACAUGAAUUAUUGCAACAACAAAAACUGGUGGCUGCUGAUCAACAGCACGGACCCAGUUAGCGAGCUACAAUGGCUCGUGUACGAGUUGCAAGGUGCCGAGAUCAAUGGUGAGAAGGUGCACAUAAUUGGCCAUAUCCCACCUGGACACUCGGACUGUCUCAAAGUGUGGUCGAGAAAUUACUAUCACAUCAUCAACCGCUAUGAAUCAACAAUCACGGCCCAGUUCUUCGGACAUACGCAUUACGACGAGUUCCAGAUAUUCUAUGAUACAUCGGAUCUUGGCAGAGCGCUCAGUAUCGCCUACGUUGGUCCUUCAGUCUCGCCGUAUUAUGAUCUGAAUCCCGGCUACAGAAUAUAUUACGUCGAUGGAGAUCAUCCAAAAACUACAAGAAUGGUCAUCGAUCACGAGAGCUGGGUCAUGAAUCUCAAGGAAGCGAAUCUUUACGAUUAUCCCAUCUGGCAUAAGUUGUAUAGCGCACGACAAGCCUACCAAAUGGCAUCGCUCUUGCCGAAGGACUGGGACUCCCUGAUCGACAAAAUGACCAACGAACCAGCCCUCUUUGAUCUCUAUUACAAGCAUUACUAUAAGAAUUCUCCGGUGCGACCGGCGUGCAAUGACGAAUGUCGCAAGAGAUUGCUCUGUGAUCUGCGCAGCGGAAGAAGCCAUGACCGGAAAGCGUUAUGCCAGAGCUUAGAAGCGAGGAUCGACAUCGAGACUAGAACGGGCUGGCGAGCGUGGAUCUAUAAAGGACUCGCAUUAUCGUAUGUAAAAGACUUGUGGAUCCAACUCUAUUCCGGCAAUAUUGAGACUAAUGAAGUUAAUUAAUCAAUUAUUCCGUAUAAAAAUACGUCGCGAUUAAUAUUUCGAAAAUAUUGAUAUGACAAUGAUCCAUAGUUAACAGUUUUUUUAAUUGAACUGAUUUUAAAUCAAAUAUUUCUCUUUUUUUUUUGUUACUUAUUCUAAAAAAAACUUGCGUAUCUCGAACGCGUAGUUUUAUUCAAUUGCAACUGUUCAUUUUUAUUUUGUAUGCGUUCGUUGCUAGUAAUUCUAAUUUUAAGCGAACAAAUUUAAAGCAAUAUUGAAAAGUCGAAGAAACAACGAUGACUCAUGAUAACACAAAGGCACAUUCUAACAAAAAGUUUGCAGUUGGUUUAAUAAAAAUCGCUUGAAAUAUAUUAAUCGAAUGUUAAUAGUAGCACAAAUAACCCAGCUUAACUGAUGUGUUAACGAAUCACAGAGAAACAUUAACAAUAUAUAGAGAUUAAUAACUAAAGUCUGAUCUUGAAUUGUGAGGAAAAAGAGGAAAUAUAUACAAGCUGCUCAAUUAAUAUAAAUCGAUAUAUUCAUAUAUUAUUGAUAUACUAUAGCAUAUAUGUAUACACAUAUUAAGUAAGCGUAUAAUAUGUAGAAACGCGUCACCUGCUGAUUAAUUUGAUGUCCUAUAAAUUUGGAAACAUGAUUAAUAUAUGUGUGUGAUUUAGAUAUAAUAAAUUAUUUUUAUACGCAUUCGAUAAAAUAAAUAAAAAAUUUCUAUCUAUAGUAUUAUUCAAUUUUUUCAUAAUAUUUUAAUUAUAGUUUGUUAAAAAUAACUGCAAAAAACAAAACAUAUAUGCAGCUAAAGCUGUACAAGUAUGAAAAGAUCGAUCAAUUUGAAUUUAAUUACUUUCGCUAUAUUCAGUUGAAAAAAAACUCACAACGUAAUAUUAUUAUAAUAUUAAAAAAUAUAUAUUAUUGCGUUAAAUAUUUAUAAGAAAAAUAAAAUUAAUUAUGCCAUAUUAUCGGACGGAAUAGUUAUUAUAUCUCUGAAGAUAAAAUUGUUUUUAUUUUGCAAAUAUUUCUUGCAAAAAAUUGAAAAAAAUAUUAUUAUUGAUCAAUAUUAUUGAAGUUGAAUUGCUUGUGUUCCAUUUGCUUGUAUUUUAUUAAAUCAUCAAAAGAAAAACAAGGUUGCUGUAGACAAUAUAUUAUUUCGCGCAAUGUCUCUCACCUUCUUUUUCGCUUAUUAGUAUAUAAGAAUUUAUAGGCGCUAAAUUUUAGAAUAUACGCAAAAAGAGAGACUAAUAAUAGAUUAAUAAUAUAUAUUUAGUAAGCUGUAAAUCUUCUCUACUCAAGCUCUACUCAGCUCUCGUAGAAACAAAGAAAAUACCGACAGGUUCCAUUCGAUAGCACCGAAGCAUCAUUAAUAUUGCUUCGUUUAGAAUGCACGUAUAUAUGUAUGCAUCACACUCGAAUGAGCUUUCUAUAAUCAAAUGUAAAUAUAUGUAUCAUUUCGUAACACUUGCAUGAAAGAUUGAAAACACUAAUAUCUUCAAUGAUGAGAAGAAGCACUAAUAAAAAAAGAAUAUCGAUUCUUCGCGUGUGUUUCAGAGGGUUCUUCGCGAAACAUAUUGCCUCAUAAUUGAAAGCAAUCGUUUUUUUUUUAUGCGAGCUCCUUCGAAUGUCUGCAUUAAAAUUAAAAAAAAAAAAACAGGAACAAAUGCUCUCUAGAUGAAGAGAGAUCAAGAUACUAUACUACGUAAUUUUAACUACGUGCCUUGUCAGAAAAUAUACGCUCUCUAAAUAUAUCCUUCUCUAACACGAAAAUUUUUUAAAUAAAAUAAACAAUAUGAAACACGGUGUUGGGUCCCAUCAAUUGACCAAUUUACUGUAAAUACUGCUGUAGAUACCUUUUAAUCAUUUGAAUUAAUUUCAGCAUCGCGCAAAAGCGCAUCCUAACAAAUGCGCAAGUUGUUUCACGCAAUGCGUAAAAAUGUAUAAGCUUUUCUUAGGCGCACUUAAUUUGCCAAGCGCAUCGCAACAAUACUUGAGCCGGCUUUACUUCAUCGAAAAUACCAAGUUACUUGUACAUAUCUAAAAGUAGAGUCGGUAAUCUUGUUUAUGGUGGUGGAACGUAACAGCCGAUGGUUGAUUCUCUCCUCGCGCACUAUAAAUGUCCGUGGUGAUGGCCAUCCCCAGGUUUGCGUACAAUCUACCAAAGUACGUUUUAGGACUGGGUUAGAGAACAAGAAAACGAAUGCUAAAUGCAGAUGCGUGACUCAAUUUGUGAUGUUAAAUUAUUAAAAUAUUCACAACGUGGUAUUAUAGUAUUCAAGACGCGAAUUUCGGUAUUGUUGACGACCGACGAUUAUAUUAUUCGUCGAAAUUGAAUAUCGUGUGUCGACUCGUAAUUGCUCUCACAGAAUCUAGCAUGCUAUUCCUUCAUAAUCGAAGAAGACUCUAUAAAAAUGAACAAAUUGAAAUGGAUUGAGAAAUAUUCAUUUUUUCUGGGAAGUAUCAGUAGACGAAACGAAUCGAAAAAUGAAUUUUUUGUGCAAAGUCAAAAAUAAGUUUUCUUAAUCCUCGGAAUCGUAUAUCGAUUACAAAAUUUUUAUACUUAAUACAAAGAGUCAGAUUCCAAUUUAAAGACUAAGAAUUUAUGUAAUUUUGUAAAGUAAAUUCUUUCUAAUUCACGUAUUUUCUCCCUCAGUAGAUCACAUACAACAACCUCGUGUAAUGACUUUUUUUUUUAAAUAAAAUAAUGCAGAUGAGCAUAAAGGUCUAAAAGUAAAUAGCGACCAAGAAUGAUAUAUUACGAUUACGUAAUUAUAAUGUACAUUAAGCAUAGCAUAUUUUAGCAGACUUAUUCGCAGAAGAUAAACGUGCGAUCUUCUCACUUGGAGAAACAUGAUCGUGAAAUCACGUGUGCUUUGAAUCAAAGAUUAAAACAAUAAUAUUUCAAUGAGUUCAGUUUGUAUAUGCGAGAAAAGAUCUUAUGUCUCACUUAAUGUAUUUGAGUGAUUAAGUAUUUUAUUAUCGCGUGUUUCUGUAGUAUACAAAUUUGAUCUCAGCGAAAUUAUAAUAAGUUUUCAAUACCUCCUUUGAGAGUCCUCUUUAAUAACAGGCGUUGUGUACAUAAUAUGUAAAUAUAUGCAAAUAUUAUGAUCGCGCGCAGAUUAAUAUUUUCUCUUUCAUUAAUUAUUAGUUAACGAGUGAUUAAUUCAUUAAUUCAUCAACGGCACGUGAUGAAUAUUUCCACGCGAAAUCAUUCCACUUAUAAUAGGUCAGUAAUUAAAUUUCAUGUGUGUUUAUCGAUGAAAUAUUUUUAGUUAUAUUAAAUCUGAUACAAGGUCGUAUGUGCGCGCGCGAUCUUUGGGUGAAGCAAAUAAAUUUACGGAUCAAAUGAACCUGAUGUUUAACACUACUAAACAUGGGGUAUAGUUAUCGAUUCUCUCCCCAGUCAUCUCUGCAACGAAACAUUUAAAAUAUACUGCAAUGUGAAUUUACAGAUUGAAAGUCGCGAAUGCUCCCAGUGUUCCUAAUGUUUCGAUUAAUUGACGACCUAGUCCAAGAUGCGUAUUGAUUACCGUUGACUAUAUUUUACUCAUAUAUAGCAUAUAAUAAAUAUACAUAUAUCUUUUGCAGUUCUCUCGUUAUCGAAAUAAACUAACAAAGAAUGCGUGAAUUAAUAAGUUGUUCUUAAAAAUUCAACAAUUACAAAUCAUUAGUGAUAAUAUUAACAAAAACCUAUAGAAAGAUAUUUUAAUAAGUAAGGAAAGAAUAAUGUAUACCUUCUCGAUACAUUAUACAUUUUAAAAAAUUGACAAAUAUAGUAUGAUAAGAGUAAUGACAUAUUAAAUUACGCAGAGAGAGAAAGUCACGUGUAUGAGCGAAAUUAUUGUAUAUAUAAAGGAAAACUUCUAUUUAUUCACAAGUGGUUAUAUGUUUUUGCUGACAUUGUUAAUUUUAUAUUAAACAUGUUUUAGUAUAUUCAGCCUUA